rnacentral:rRNA from 4 species
UGGUGGGUAGUUUGACUGGGGCGGUCUCCUCCUAAAGAGUAACGGAGGAGCACGAAGGUUGGCUAAUCCUGGUCGGACAUCAGGAGGUUAGUGCAAUGGCAUAAGCCAGCUUGACUGCGAGCGUGACGGCGCGAGCAGGUGCGAAAGCAGGUCAUAGUGAUCCGGUGGUUCUGAAUGGAAGGGCCAUCGCUCAACGGAUAAAAGGUACUCCGGGGAUAACAGGCUGAUACCGCCCAAGAGUUCAUAUCGACGGCGGUGUUUGGCACCUCGAUGUCGGCUCAUCACAUCCUGGGGCUGAAGUAGGUCCCAAGGGUAUGGCUGUUCGCCAUUUAAAGUGGUACGCGAGCUGGGUUUAGAACGUCGUGAGACAGUUCGGUCCCUAUCUGCCGUGGGCGCUGGAGAACUG